ensembl:ncRNA T27E4.14 ncRNA
GCGUCGUCUAUUGAGAGGAGGAGCCUCAGCGCAAGUAUGCCCCGCCCAUAGAGAAGAGUCGUUGGCAACGCUCCAACAACACGGCGGCACCAAAAGAGAGGUAGAACACAGACGUUCGAACUAAU